rnacentral:tRNA from 1 species
CGAGUAGAAGCCCGCUGGUUUGGGUGGUUAGCUGUUAAUUAAUUUGUCGCGGGAUCAAAGCCCGCCUACUUAG